GACGAACGCUGGCGGCGUGCCUAAUACAUGCAAGUAGAACGCUGAAGAGAGGAGCUUACUCUUCUUGGAUGAGUUGCGAACGGGUGAGUAACGCGUAGGUAACCUGCCUUGUAGCGGGGGAUAACUAUUGGAGACGAUAGCUAAUACCGCAUAACAAUGGAUGACACAUGUCAUUUAUUUGAAAGGGGCAAUUGCUCCACUACAAGAUGGACCUGCGUUGUAUUAGCUAGUAGGUGAGGUAAUGGCUCACCUAGGCGACGAUACAUAGCCGACCUGAGAGGGUGAUCGGCCACACUGGGACUGAGACACGGCCCAGACUCCUAGGGGAGGCAGCAGUAGGGAAUCUUCGGCAAUGGGGGCAACCCUGACCGAGCAACGCCGCGUGAGUGAAGAAGGUUUUCGGAUCGUAAAGCUCUGUUGUAAGUCAAGAACGGGUGUGAGAGUGGAAAGUUCACACUGUGACGGUAGCUUACCAGAAAGGGACGGCUAACUACGUG
rnacentral:rRNA from 1 species